UUUUUUUUUUUUUUUUAAAGCAGUGGAAUCUCAGUUUGGUUUCUGAGGGUCAUACUUGAUGCUGUUCUCAUUUCUAGUCUGUGUGUCUCUUGGGUUGAGUUUUGUCUGCCAGUUGAUAGUGGCCAGCAUGAGCCUAAAGACCUUGCAUUGGGUGCUUGAGGGGAAGGGACCAGGAUCACACUGACGCCUUAUUUUUUCCCCUAAAGGGAUGGGGUCAAAUGGACAGGUCUUUAUCAAGUGAUGCUGAGCUAUGCUGGCACUAGGCUAGGCUCAUACGGGGUUUGGGGACAAAGAGAGGAACCGAGGUGUGUGUGGGGGGGUCCUGCCUGCCUAGGGAAGUACAUCCUGACCCUUGAAAGAGGGUAUUAAGUAAUUGGGGUUGGUUUGAUAGACUAGGGGAGUAAUGAAGAUUCAGAGAAGUUCUUGGAGCCCAUGUUGGCCACAAGGCUUAUGGAUUUCAACAGUGAACUUGGCAACUAAGUCAUAAAAUCCAUGCCUUUGAAUUCAUUCUAUUUUUUUCCCCCUAGGUCUGAGCUGUUUGGUAAGGUUCAUGUUUCCUUAGGGAAUAAGCAAGUGAAUUAGGCAUAUCUUUUGUCUAAAUGGCAGCAAGGUAGGAUUUAACUCCUUUGCAGAGUGAUACAAUUGAAUUCUCAGUUUUGAGAGAAGCGUCAUAAUAUUUCGUGUCUUACGUGUACAUUUUCCCGCAAAUGCAAAUGUCUUUAAAUGGACAUUGAUACUUCCCAUUUAGCUCUCUUGUGAGUGAUAGAAGAGUAAGUAAUAUCAUUCCCAUUUUACAGAUGGAGCUGAGACUUUGAAGGAAUUUGCUAAACUAGGGAAGAGAGAAGUUUGUUUUCCAAAGUCCAGAAGGUGAAGCAUCAGUAACACUGAAGCAUAAAACUUCCCCUUGUAAUUAAUAUGUUCCUUAUAGAUCAUCUAGAAAAUUCAAACAUGUUUAAAGAAGAAAAUAAGAGCCAUCUAUAAUUUCACAACCCAGAUCCCUGUUUUAUCUUAAGGAUUUUCUUCAUUUUUAUAUACAAAUAUAAGAGUAUUAUGCAUAUUUCUCUAAAAUGAGAUUUUUGUUAAAUACACAAUUUUGUAUUCCAUUUUUCUUAUUACAUCAUAAGGAUAAUAAUAGGAACUUUUUAUACUGCCUCAUAUGUGGCUCAGUUCUCCUGGGCACAUACCAGGAUUACGUUUUUUCACCCAUUUUGCAGGUAGGUGGAGCUGUGCCUAGUUCUGGCCAAUGGGCUGUCAACAAAAGUGAGGUGUGUCGCUUUUGCACUGAACACAUUUUGUCUGUGUGAGACCAUCUGCAGUGUCCUUCCCCUGCUGAGAGGGUGGUUGUAUGUUCCCCUGAGAGUUGGGCUCUGGCUGCUUGCACUGCGAACAGCUCUUCAUCUGUGGCCUUAUCUUGUUUGGACGUGAAAUCUGUUGUGUUUAGCUACUGAGAACUUGAAGUUGUUACUGCAGCAUAACCUAGCCUGUUCCAACUAAUCCAAGAGUUUCUGAUGUUUGGAAGAGUCUUGCGAACUUGGUUUCCAAAGACAGUAAUUUUGCAUUAUAUAUUAUUCUAAAUUUUAUUUAGUCAUCUCCUUCUUAUUAGGUAUUUAUUCAUUUCACUUUUUUCUUUUUUAAAUAGUGCAGCUGUGAAAACUCUCAAGUGCUUAUCUGAUGUGUUCUCACGGGAAAUUUUUAUAAGUGGAGUUUGGUCAGGAAAAAAAUGAAUAUUUUCAAAGCUCUGGAUAUGAAUCCACAAGCUUCUCUCCAGAGACGUUUUUCAAGUUUGUACUUCCCUUCGGCAGCACACGAGAAUGCCCGUUUCCACGCACUCUUGCCAAAGCCACAUCUUAAAACAUUUAAAUAUUUUUUUCCUGUGACUUUAAAGGAAAACUAAUUGCCAUGAAUUUGAUAACGAGUUUGACCUUUCUUUAAACACCCUUUUGCCUGUUUGUAUGUUUUGUGAAUGAUACGAAGUAUGGCCUGACCUGCUGGGGGUCUUCUCUCUUUUUCUUAACUGUAACCGCUCCAGCCUCUGAACUUCUUGUUGAUUUAGAUAGCUUGGUUUUCCAUGUCAUUUCAGAAGGAGAAAUGCGACAGAUUUGUAUGGAUAGAUGUUGCCUGCACAAGGAGAGGAAGAGGGACAGGGAGCAGCUAGGUGGUGGCCUCACUUCCCUCAGCCACAGAGCCACCCUGCUGGGUAUGGAGGGAGGGGGCCCUAGGGACUCCCGGAUGACACCAGGGUGAGAUGCCCCGUCUCACCUGGCUUGAUGUGAAUGCUGGCACAGGAGAUGCGAGGGGGUCUGAGCUUCCACGGGCAUGGCUCACACACUCUCGUGGAGGAACAGGUGACGGCCGAGCCGCUCCUGAGACAGGGGGCUGUUGCUGAAGACAGGCGGGCCGGUCCUGUGCUGUGGGAUAGAAAAGAAAGGCCCUGCCCAGGUCCAGGAAAAGGACAGCAGGUGCUGGGAGGAGCAGGUGGUUGCUUCCGCCUGUGGGCGGGGACCAGGGGAAAGUUGUAGCAAUCCCCUCUUCUGGGACAGGCGG
ensembl:lncRNA